UACGUAGGGUGCGAGCGUUAAUCGGAAUUACUGGGCGUAAAGGGUGCGCAGGCGGUUUUGUAAGCCAGAUGUGAAAUCCCCGGGCUUAACCUGGGAACUGCAUUUGGGACUGCAAGGCUAGAGUGCGGCAGAGGGGGGUGGAAUUCCACGUGUAGCAGUGAAAUGCGUAGAUAUGUGGAGGAACACCGAUGGCGAAGGCAGCCCCCUGGGUCAGCACUGACGCUCAUGCACGAAAGCGUGGGGAGCAAACAGG
rnacentral:rRNA from 1 species